rnacentral:rRNA from 1 species
GAUGAACGCUGGCGGCGUGCCUAACACAUGCAAGUCGAGCGAAGCGCUUAAAUUAGAUUUCUUCGGAAUGACGAUUUUUGUGACUGAGCGGCGGACGGGUGAGUAACGCGUGGGUAACCUGCCUCAUACAGGGGGAUAACAGUUAGAAAUGACUGCUAAUACCGCAUAAGACCCCAGCUUCGCAUGAAGCGGUGGUAAAAACUCCGGUGGUAUGAGAUGGACCCGCGUCUGAUUAGCUAGUUGGUAAGGUAACGGCUUACCAAGGCGACGAUCAGUAGCCGACCUGAGAGGGUGACCGGCCACAUUGGGACUGAGACACGGCCCAGACUCCUACGGGAGGCAGCAGUGGGGAAUAUUGCACAAUGGGGGAAACCCUGAUGCAGCGUCGCCGCGUGAAGGAUGAAGUAUUUCGGUAUGUAAACUUCUAUCAGCAGGGAAGAAAGUGACGGUACCUGACUAAGAAGCCCCGGCUAACUACGUG